rnacentral:sRNA from 1 species
UAUUUCUAUCGUUAUAAAUAGAAGAUCAUAAAAGGGGUCUUUCAACCUCUUUAAAAUUUAUUUUUCUCUCUUUUUUGAAUCUUAAGUCUUCCAAUCAUGAGAUCCGAGCCUUCUGAUGUUAUCCAGCAAAGCUGCACAAGGAUGAGCGGGAUCAGCAUUCAAUACCUCAUGAACACAGGACAUUUUUAUCUAACGAAAUAGGUUUAGAAUUUAAAAUUUGACAUUAUUAUCUCCAAGUGACCAAUUCUUCCUGAUAAGUUUAUUAUUGCAGAGAAUAUUUGAAGUGAAUAUCACCUCUCUCUACCUCCCCAAAUUUGUUGUGUGCUUUCCCACGUAUUUUCUUUUGAGUCCAUGCCUCCUCCGACCAAGAUUACAGUUUCAACAUCAAUGGAGAGUUACAUGAUUAAUGUUUUAUGUGUAUGAAUUUUAUUUGCUGUCCUGAUCCUGUUAACUGUUAUUUUUUGAAUCAUUUCUGUUUAUUACGAAUUUUUAUUUGUUGUCCUGAUCCUGUCAACUGAGUUCUACAUGAUGUCGGAAGAAAAAUUGCAUGCAUAAGAAGAAGAGAUUAAUCAAAUUCAAGCAAUAUCUCAGGAGAAGCAAAAGACACACUGAUAUGGUUGACUAGGACGAGAUCUGAUGGUUGUGUCCAAAAUAGUUAAGUUGUAGUUCAUAUAUCAAUGUCAUGUGCCACUUAAUCUCAUUGAGAAAUUGUUAAAUGAAGUUUUAUUCAUGUGAUAUGUGUGGAAACUGCCGGAUUCUAAUUGAAGGUGCUAAUAUGAUUAUUACCAAUGAAUCUGCUAAUUGUUUUUUUAAAAUAUUUACAAUUGACUAUUAUUUUUAUUUCUUUUUUAUUUCAAUCUGUAUCAUUAAUUCAUUAUUUUCCUAAAUUUAUCAAAUAUUUUCUCCAACCAUUGCCAAAUACUGAAAAGUAAAGUAAUAUUGCAUGAAAUGACAUUAGUCUGAGAAAUCUGGAAAUCGCCGUUUCCAUGUAUUGGAUGAAAGGUGUGGCAAACAGUACAGAAUGAGGAAACUAAAUGUGUAGAAGGAU